UAUUCUCCUCUAUCGAAUUAAAAAAAGAUUGACUUGCUGUAUUGAGAGCAACUCACGUCUAUAUAAGUUGCUCUCAAUAUAGCAGGUCAAUCUUUUUUUAAUUCGAUAGAGGAGACUAAGAAUUGUCGACUUUAUUUUGAUGCUGUCUUACUUUUAUACUAAAUGAGGUUGUGAGAAAUAUAAGUGCGUCGAGAAUAUUUUUUGUCUCGGUAACGUAAGUCCUUUCUGAGGGCGUUCCUUCGCGCGGACGAGGCGGUUUUUGAAGAUCAAGCUGAAGCGACCGGAGCGUCGAUGCGAGACUUCGUUCACCGUGUUCGCCAAGUCAAGCACAUGUGAUUUGUGACUUGCGUAAUAUGUCUUAAUCUAUCGCCGACGGUCACAUGCAGUCUGUAAUCACUUGCGCCGCCGAUAAGAGGGGCGUAUGCUACAAUGACUGCCGGCGAACGCUUGCGAGCAAAUAAAUAUCAAUAAAUCAUCUGUAUCCUCCUAUUUUCUAUUUACUCUUACUCUAAUGCGUUUAUUUGCCUCGAUCGCACGCGUGCAUUGUGAACUUGGUAAAGAGAUUUUCGAAAACGUCUGGAUGUUCCGCGAUUUUAUUCCGAGAUUAUUUCUCACGUUUCCCCGCGCCGCUGAAAGGGGCGGAUUUAUUUCGACAACAUACGUGACUUAGUCCAGCAACUUAGUAAAUUUAAUUAGAAAAUUUUUCAGGCUUCGUGACAAAAGUCUUUCGGUAAUGACGGUCGUGCGAUCAUCGCCGACGCCAGAAAUCGGGAUUUUCCCAAUUUUCGGGGGACUCGGGCGUGCGGAAAAUCGUCGGGCAGCUCGAUGAUACCGAUCUGUCCGCGAGAGACGCGACACGCCGUCUGCCCCGUGCCCUGACGAGGAGUGCAACGAGCAUGAACGCCGGCGUGAAAAUAAGCGGAAUUAAAGAAAACAAGACGCACGCCGAGGAGCACAUGACUGCUCGGAUUGAUAGCGGUAAACUCGUGACCACGAUAAACUACUGCGAACAAUUUCAUCGGCCAUAACCGGCCACGUACGUGUUCAGUCCUUCGCCGGCAUGUCCAGGAACAGGAAUUACGAGACGUUCGCCAGCAGCGCGGCAGACGUAUCGUCGCCGCCGCCACCCGAGCAUACGACUCGUCAUGCUCGAAUUUGCGAUAAUGACCGUCGACCGCAACGAUAUUGGCUGAUUCUGGAGGUAACGGGGCCAGAGAGCGAAGCAGCGCUCUCUCAAAUAAUCUUCACGCUCGAUGGACUUCUCAACAGGCCCCUUAAUUUGAAUAACGUUAAAUAUAAUUAUAAGUACAAUCGUUUUAUUAAAAACAAUUACAUAUUUAUAUUUUAUCACAUCGAAUUAUUCUGACAAUAUGUACAAUGCGGUUUAAGUUCACAUUAUAUACAUUUGUACAUUUACGUGCAAGAUACGUACACAAAAUACGUGCAAGAAUACGAUAUUCAAUUUAUUUGCGCAGGACAAAUUGUGCGUUUAUUCGAAUGGAAUUUUUUUAAAAGGUGCUAAAAGAGUUUUUUAAA